rnacentral:rRNA from 1 species
AGUGAACGCUGGCGGCAGGCCUAACACAUGCAAGUCGAACGCCCCGCAAGGGGAGUGCCAGACGGGUGAGUAACGCGUGGGAAUAUUCCCUUUGGUUCAGGAUAGCCCCGGGAAACUGGGAUUAAUACUGGAUAAGAUCUACGGAUGAAAGAUUUGUCGCCGAAGGAUUAGCCCGCGUAAGAUUAGUUAGUUGGUGAGGUAAUGGCUCACCAAGACAAUGAUCUUUAGCUGGUCUGAGAGGAUGAUCAGCCACACUGGAACUGAGACACGGUCCAGACUACUGCGGGAGGCAGCAGUGAGGUAUAUUGGACAAGGGGCGCGAGCCUGAUAAAGACAUGCCGGGUGAGUGAUGAAGGCCGUAGGGUUAUAAAACUCUUUUAGUGGGGAGAAUAAUGAUGGUACCCACAGAAAAAGCUCCGGCUAACUUCGUGCCAGCCGCCGCCGUAA